ensembl:lncRNA
GCAAUUUCUACACACCAUGGAGAUCGGAGUGCGCAUCCUCUUGGCUUUCCUCCUCCACCAGGGCACAGGCUGCAGCAUGGCAGCCGUCCAGACACCGGCAUUAACAUCCCAUCUCGGGGCCAGAGACACCGGGAAGGUCAGCGGAGUGUGUGUGUGUGUGAGAUAGGUGUGGGGGGGGAAGGGGGGGCGGGGGCCAUUAACUACUCUGUUGCAAUGAUUGCCAUACAGCAGCACUGCAGUAUUCAAUGUUUACCACUGUGUAAGAUGGGAGUGAACUGCGGUAAAAUUGAUUACUUUCAUCCUGUAAGAAGGAUGUACAAACACUGUUUGUGUUUUGAAUAUUAAAGUUUGCUUUGUAUGCGAGGUGGGGAGAAGAUUAUUCGGACUAACUUGGAUUGGAAAACUUAUCAAGGACAUUACAGUGAAGGAGAAAAUUGCCGUAAAAAGCACUCUUCAUUGCAUUCAUUGGUAUUUCACAGAGUUGUGUUACAAUUGAGCUUAAACAGGAAAUAUAUGUAUCUCCAUUGAACUGAAAUGUGCAUAUAAGAAAAUAUUUUAAAGACAUUACCAUCUUCAUUUGAUCUAGAAAAAUGCAGUUUUUAGUUUACUUCUGUUAACUCAUACAAGGGAGCUGUGCCUGUACAGUACAGAGGGAACGAGUAACAGAGCACAUAAUGUAGGGUAUGAAUAUUUUAAGAGUUGUGCAUUCAUCAUACUUUGUUAAUACAACAACCUAUUCAGCAGCAAAUUGGAAGAUGAGUGGGCGACACUUCUGAAAGCUUUCCUCCCCUCAUGUUGGAGCUCUUGCACAAAACCAGCAGCAUUCAUUAUUGCUCAGUCAUUUUUAUGGCACAGCCCUGCCAUCAGCAAAAGACAAAUUCUGAAAAGCUCACGAGUUGUCGUUAAAUCAAACACUUAUGGAUUAUUCAUUAAAAAGUAGCAAACGGAAGACGUUUAUAAAGUGCCACCUCCCAACCUUUUGGCAGUGAAUCUAGAGCCCACUUUGUAAACACUCACAGUACGCGAGCUCCACCUCAGGAUAUUGAUCCAAGGACACAUUAGAUCUCUAAAUACUUUUCAGAAUUAUUUUUGCAUGUUUUUCACGCUUACAAAGGAUUAAAGGCAAAUUUGUAGAUGUGUUUUUAUUUUUUUUUGUAAUACGUCAGUUAUCUUUACUCUUGGGACUUUGAAGCAAAUUUUGCCUCAUGUUUUAACUACCCUGGAAACCAUCAAAUUCCCUCAGCAAACUUCACAGUCAUUAGAAAUGGGUGCAGGAUUACGGGGGGAUGGCAGAAACAUUCAAAUGAAUUGUUUUAUACUUGCAUAAAGAGAGACUCUCCCAACAUAUUGUAGUAGGCCGUGUUUGUAAAGUAGCCUGCAGAGGACCAACACUACAGUGAGGGCCGUUUGCAUUGUGACGUCACCUUAAAGGCACCACAGUUCUCGGACAUGCUUAGAGUUGAAAUUUGCCAGAUGACCUUAAAUCCUCACACACUGCUCCUUUAAAUGGGAAUGCAAUGCAAUAUAAGAUUGAAUUACUUAUUCAAACAGUGUUUUUGCACACACUGUUUUGUCCACAAGCAAGGACAGAAAUAGCUGCCUCUUUUCGUUUCAUGGGAAACUAUUUCCAUAAUUUUGCCUCCGGGCUAAUUGCAUAAUCUAAUCAUCUAUACAGCCGUGUCUAGCGUAAUACAUAAUUGGUUUUGAGAGCUUUCCUCAAAAGGGAAAUUAACAUGAAGAGAUAUUGGUGUAGUCUCCUUGCUGUGUGACACCAAAUACUGUACGUCUAUUAGCUAUCGCAACAGUGUCCAUCUGCUUGACCAUUCCCGAGAUCUUUAUGGGGAACAAAGUUUUAGUCUUUGCAUCUGGAUCGUAUGAUGAUAUUAUAUCACUGCCAUAUUCUUACCAAAUUUGUUUGAGGAAUGUUUAAUCAACUACUCGAACAAGCAGUAAGUUCUUACGUGGCUUAACAUUAGUUGAACAGUUGAGCUGCUUUUCAUCGCCUUUUUUCGAAAAAAAAUAGUUAAUCAAACACAAACACAAAUACGUUUUGUAAAAGAAGAUCUGAAGCUGCUGCUGCUUGACUUUUCGGAGGUCGGAACAGGGCCCCUGAAGAAAGCAUCGAUGGCCGCGGCAAUGCCUGCCAGCCUGCCAAUGGCUGCCUGUUCAAAGUAAAAAAUAUACACAAUUGUCAUCUGGUAUCAAGAAAAAUGCAGCGUUGCUUUUAUGUCUGCCGAGUCAAAUAGUGUCGUCUCCAAUUGAGUGGAACUGGAGUGACUCAAGCUGCAGUGGCGACAUAAGAUUCCGCAUCGC